rnacentral:tRNA from 1 species
GCGGUGAUAGCUCAGUUGGUAGAGCGUCUGCUUCCCAAGCAGAAGGUCGCGGGUUCAAGCCCCGUUCGCCGCU